UCUGUUUUUUUUUUUUUUUUUGUAAAAUCUCCAAGUCUGCCCCAAUUUAUUGCAGCAAAAUAAUCACGGGGUCGUUUUGAAACAAUUGAAAUAGGAAUGCAAUGGGGUUUCGUCUGUUUUUUUUUUUUUUUUUGUAA
rnacentral:ribozyme from 1 species